CCUACGGGGGGCUGCAGUGAGGAAUAUUGGUCAAUGGUCGGGAGACUGAACCAGCCAAGCCGCGUGAGGGAUGAAGGUACAGAGUAUCGUAAACCUCUUUUGUCAGGGAACAAAGGCGGGGACGUGUCCCCGGAUGAGUGUACCUGAAGAAAAAGCAUCGGCUAACUCCGUGCCAGCAGCCGCGGUAAUACGGAGGAUGCGAGCGUUAUCCGGAUUUAUUGGGUUUAAAGGGUGCGUAGGCGGGACCUUAAGUCAGCGGUAAAAUUGCGGUGCUCAACGCCGUAGAGCCGUUGAAACUGGGGCUCUUGAGUGAGCUAGAGGUAGGCGGAAUGCGUGGUGUAGCGGUGAAAUGCAUAGAUAUCACGCAGAACCCCGAUUGCGAAGGCAGCAUACCGGCGCUCAACUGACGCUGAGGCACGAAAGUGCGGGUAUCGAACAGGAUUAGAUACCCGAGUAGUC
rnacentral:rRNA from 1 species